rnacentral:rRNA from 1 species
UUGACGGGGCCCGCACAAGCGGUGGAGCAUGUGGUUUAAUUCGAAGCAACGCGCAGAACCUUACCAGCCCUUGACAUACCGGUCGCGGACACAGAGAUGUGUCUUUCAGUUCGGCUGGACCGGAUACAGGUGCUGCAUGGCUGUCGUCAGCUCGUGCCGUGAGAUGUUGGGUUAAGUCCCGCAACGAGCGCAACCCUCGCCCUUAGUUGCCAGCAUUUAGUUGGGCACUCUAAGGGGACUGCCGGUGAUAAGCCGAGAGGAAGGUGGGGAUGACGUCAAGUCCUCAUGGCCCUUACGGGCUGGGCUACACACGUGCUACAAUGGUGGUGACAGUGGGCAGCGAGCACGCGAGUGUGAGCUAAUCUCCAAAAGCCAUCUCAGUUCGGAUUGCACUCUGCAACUCGAGUGCAUGAAGUUGGAAUCGCUAGUAAUCGCGGAUCAGCAUGCCACGGUGAAUACGUUCCCGGGCCUU